AGUGAACGCUGGCGGUAGGCCUAACACAUGCAAGUCGAACGGCAGCACAGUAAGAGCUUGCUCUUACGGGUGGCGAGUGGCGGACGGGUGAGGAAUACAUCGGAAUCUACUUUUUCGUGGGGGAUAACGUAGGGAAACUUACGCUAAUACCGCAUACGACCUACGGGUGAAAGCAGGGGAUCUUCGGACCUUGCGCGAUUGAAUGAGCCGAUGUCGGAUUAGCUAGUUGGCGGGGUAAAGGCCCACCAAGGCGACGAUCCGUAGCUGGUCUGAGAGGAUGAACCGCCACACUGGAACUGAGACACGGUCCAGACUCCUACGGGAGGCAGCAGGGGGGAAUAUUGGACAAUGGGGGCAAGCCUGAUCCAGCCAUACCGCGUGGGUGAAGAAGGCCUUCGGGUUGUAAAGCCCUUUUGUUGGGAAAGAAAAGCAGCAGGUUAAUACCCCGCUGUUCUGACGGUACCCAAAGAAUAAGCACCGGCUAACUUCGUG
rnacentral:rRNA from 1 species